rnacentral:rRNA from 1 species
UACACUCCUGCGGGAGGCAGCAGUGGGGAAUUUUGGACAAUGGGCGAAAGCCUGAUCCAGCAAUGCCGCGUGAGUGAAGAAGGCCUUCGGGUUGUAAAGCUCUUUUGUCAGGGAAGAAACGGUGAGAGCUAAUAUCUCUUGCUAAUGACGGUACCUGAAGAAUAAGCACCGGCUAACUACGUGCCAGCAGCCGCGGUAAUACGUAGGGUGCAAGCGUUAAUCGGAAUUACUGGGCGUAAAGCGUGCGCAGGCGGUUUUGUAAGUCUGAUGUGAAAUCCCCGGGCUCAACCUGGGAAUUGCAUUGGAGACUGCAAGGCUAGAAUCUGGCAGAGGGGGGUAGAAUUCCACGUGUAGCAGUGAAAUGCGUAGAUAUGUGGAGGAACACCGAUGGCGAAGGCAGCCCCCUGGGUCAAGAUUGACGCUCAUGCACGAAAGCGUGGGGAGCAAACAGGAUUAGAAACCCUUGUAGUCCCAUGA